rnacentral:piRNA from 1 species
UCGGAUCAACCUGCAGAAGUGCCUUG